CGCCUGGGUCGCGGGGCGCUUUGGCACCCUUGGCUGCCUGUGGACGCGGAGCCCGUGGGAGGCGAGCUUUCCUGCUGCAGUCGCCGACUAGCCCAUCUCCCUUCCCUGGGGCGAAGCCGCAGGUGCCUCACGCCAGACCUCGGACACGCUCCUGGUGGGCUGAGCCGGAGGCCGACCUGAGAGACCGACUUAACGCAGUGGCCGCGCAACCGCCCUUUCGGUGCUGGCCGCAGCUUCUCCUGGCGCGGCCUAUUUCUGAGGCGAGGGCUCUCCUUCCGGGACCAGUCAGGGAGCGAGCCGGGCUCGGGAAACCGGGCAGCGAACGUUCUCGUGCGCUGUGCAGAAUAUUCCUCCGGUUGGGGACCGAGAAGCAAAAGCAAGCAGCCUCUGAGGAGACGUGGGUUAGGGCUUUCCUGAAAGUGCUACGUUUCACCACAUACAUUCAGCAUUCAUUUAAGUAGAAUUUGGCGGAUAUUGUGAAUUAGGAAACAUUCUCAAGAACACCUUCCAACCCCCCCCCCACAGCCUCCCACUCCCCUGCUUGUACCUUGAACCGUGUCACCAACAGAGGCUGCACCGUCUCCAGAAAUCUCCAGUGCAGUCACUACCUCUCUUUUACCGUAAUCUUCGAAUCUCGUUUGCGCAAAAGACCAACAUCCCGGCAUAAUCUUUAACUUCGUUAUGACCUCCCCCGCCCCCCCCCCCCCGCCCCAUCCCUAGUUCUUAGGCAUUUGCUCACAGAUUCUUCCUUAGAGUUCAUGGUCCAUCUUUGUAACACUUUUAGAAAUUUCCCCCAUCUCUGUCUCGGUUUCCUCCUCCACGAAAUGGGAUAAUCACACCUACUUCCUACAGUUUUCCUCAUAAUUACGCAAGUUAAUGCCCGUGAAAGAACUUAGAAAAGUGCCUGUCCCACAAGAAUUGGAUUUAUCACGUAACCUCACUGCUAUGCCUCACAGUCUGCAAUGAUAUUCAGAUACAACCAAAAGAUUUAUCUGGAGGACCAAAUGCAGUUUCAUAUGUAUAUUUAGAAGUUGUAUGUGAUCAUUUUUCAAAAGCAACAAAAAUUCCACUCCGCUAUGACAAUGGAUUUAUCCUCAUUCAGACAGACAAAUCUGUUUACAAUUCAGAUGAGUCAG